rnacentral:sRNA from 4 species
GCACCUCAUAAAACGGGUGCCGGGAUUCUCAACCUGCUGACAAACGAAGCGCACAACCGCGCCAGCGGUUUUUUU